AGUGUCUGUGUGUCCAUGACCGUGCAGUGUGGGAUUUCGGAUUGAAUGGAGCGAUGAAUAGUGGAUUAUGCUGAAAGAAGAGAAUUGAGGAAGAGAAAGAGGCAAGACAGCGGGUGAGAACGACAGACAAUAUAACCACCGGCCCACUUCCUGUUUUCAACUGAUCAACCAAGCAGACAAUUGCACAGCGAGAUACAGAAAGAGAGAGAGAGAGAUCAGCUUGUCAGAUGUCCCGUCUCGCUUUUCUCUAGCUGGGAUGAGCAUUUAGUUCCAGACGGUCUUUGUUAAGCUUCUAAAAGCAGAUAAUUAAACCAUUAACCAUAAACCAUUAGGGGCAAAGCAUCACCUCUACAUCCUCUCUUUCCGCCUUUCUCUUUUCAGGACGUCCCCUUUCUCACCCGUCACCAUUUUCCUUCCAUCUCUCUUGCUCCUCAGGAGGCGGCUAAUUGAGAACACAUUGGUUUGUCUUUGCUGCGGUUGUUCAUUCUGCCUACUGAUUUAUUAGAGCGAGGGUCGCUUGACAGGGCGUUUACUCUCUGACCGAUCUCCUCCCCUGCCAGGGGCAGCUAAUGGACUCAUCCAUUACAGUGACAACUGAGCUGAGCGCUAAGGACCGGCCCACGAAUGGAAGCAUGGGGGAGGAAAGGUGAGAUAAAUUAAUGGUUUUCAGCAGCUUGCUAAUUACCCCAAAAGUCUAUUAGCCUCCGCCCCCCUGAACACAUAAACACAAACACACUCUUCACACCCUAUGAGAGUGUAGUAAUGUUUUCAGGAUUGCACAAUCUCACACAACAAAUCACUCACAUCCCUCACUCUAAGUAGUAUCGCAUUUCCUAUCCAACACACUUAAUCACAAGCAGGUGGAAAUGCUCUUGUUUAAUGUCCUCUACUCACUCUAAUCCCAUCCAGAGCCUUCUGUCUAAACACACUGAUAACCACACACGAGCAGCCCCACUACUUGUAUACUCUUUCAUUAACUGGUCUGACCGGUCAGUUCUCUCUUUCUCUGGAUUGGACUCUUUUACAGUCUUUUUACACUUCUGCUCAAUUCUCCACAUUUUUAUGUCAACAGAGACCUGGGGACCGAGACUGCAGGGAAUUUAGUGAGACUAAAGUAACAUUGUCUUUUUUUAAACAAGAUAUUGUACUGAUCAUCCAAAACUAUUACAAAUUGUUAGUAGUUGAAAAUAAAUAUAAAUAUUAAAUGAUGUAUUUAUAAACCAUAUAGGUUUUCCUUUUCAAUAUUUAUCCAGUAUUCAGUUGAAACUUGUGUUAACAAUUUUGAAACAAUGUCAUUGUUACCUAUGAUGACUAAAACUGGCAUUGAAAUGACCUAGGAACUAGUUUAUUUAUGAUGGGCAAUGACAGACAUCCUAUUGAAACAAUGCAGAGGCAAGCACAUAUAUUAGUCCAAUAAAUGAAAAAAAAUCUAUGCUAAAAUAACAUUUGAUUAGUUUUCUUUUGUUAAGCAUCAAUUUGGAUGGACACUGACCACUACUCACAGCAACACCCCGGUUUAGCACACCUUUACUUUGGGCUUGUGGUAAGGUGAGCCAGUUUGUGUCAUUUCCUUUUACUAAUUAAUAGGUGAAAACAACAGAGCAGAGCUGUUAUUCGCUUGAAGAUCUAGUUUGAGAUAAAAUAAAACAACUUAUAUAAGGCUUGCAGUGUCCAAAAGCAACUAAAGAAACAUGAACCAAAGUAUAACAAAGAUGUCUGAAGGAUUUCAUUUAUGCUGUAUUACUUUGCCAACUUCAAUAGAUUCACUGCUUCAAGCUGAGUCAUAUUUAUGGCCGUUGAUUCAACGUACCCCAGGCCUACUGGAGCUUACCCAACUCCAAGCAUUCUGAGGGGAUAAAAAGCUUGAGCCAUCAGAUAACUUUCAUGUUUUGGUUUAGUUGUCACAUCACAGCUCAUGGGAGCACCAACUAAGCUAUGGCUCAUUUUACCCCAAUGUGACCUUAAACCUACUUCCUCUAAUCUGCUUCUGCUUUUCAUCUGCUUUUCACCCCCUGGCAACGAUUUUCUGCUUUUGGGGUGUUUGUGUUUAUUCUCAAAUUCUGCCUUGCUCUUUAAUCUUCCUUUAUGAGCAUGUCGUUCAGCAUCUAGGCAGACUGAGACAGAGAGGAAAGACUUUUAAUGAUAUUUGACCUGCCUAAGACCCAGACACCUACACCAAACCCGAUCAAAGGAGGAAUAAUACAGACCUUUCUCUCUCUCCCUCUCUCUUACACAGUGGCUGUGGCAAUGGUCUCAGGUGACCUGUUGUGUUCUACUUCUUUCUCUGUGGGUCAUUAGCAAUGCAAUCUUAACAGGGUAUAAAGCAAUCUGCCCCCUGAGACUGCCAGAAUAUUGAAAAUCCACAUGCUACAAUUGGCCAUAAAACACUGUAACAUAAAACGUGCCACAAAUGGCAGACCAGAAUACCUAACAUAACCUAAUAUAACAAUAUAAAAAGAAUUUUAAACAAAGUUCAUGAUAGAAACACAAGAGCUGAAUGAAUAUGUCAAAGAGGAUUUGGAGAUUAAGUGUUCAAAGGACAAAAAUGUUGCCAGACUAUGAAACAAAGAAAUCUUUGAGGGAAAUACCUUUCUUAAGGGGCUGCAAGUGAAAUGGACACGAGGGUCUUAGACAUGUGAGCUUGUACAGCUUCCAGCAGAGCAAGCAUGCACACCUGGAUCUAUGGGAAUAAACACUGGCCAAAAUAAAUAUCACACAUUUCUGUCUCAUAUCAUGUUUAUAAAUAUGGAAUGUUGACGAUCUCUAUAGAUACAUUUCAGAAACUAGAAAAUUGCUUUUCGUUCUUUUCUUCUGGUUUCCAUCCUAAAGGUACUUUUUUCAUAAUCAAACUCAUUUAAAUCUACAAACGAUCACCAUAUAUUUGUAUUUAAAGUCAAACAGAUUUGAUCAAAAAAUAUUGGCAAGAUCAUUACUGUCCAUUAAAAACAUAGUAAACAUAGAGAGUAAACAGCUCACAAAAGAUAGUGAAUGUUCAGAUAUUAAGUUCAGUAUCACAGUACAUGAACUCUGAUUUCUAAACAUAAUUACUUCAUCCUUUGGCAUUUGACCCCUUAUUUUAGCAGUGCUAAUUUAACAUGGACUGGUCUGUCCCCUAGUGGACAGAGACCUGUAUAACCUUUAACUUCAGGCUCGGUGCAACAUUCAUGAACAUCUACAGUUUUGGCAAGAAUGUCAAACACAAUAUGUGCAGACAAAAAAAAAAAA